rnacentral:rRNA from 1 species
AAGACCUUGCGCUUUUGGAGCGGCCGAUGCCUGAUUAGCUUGUUGGUAAGGUAAAAGCUUACCAAGGCUUCGAUCAGUAGCUGGUCUGAGAGGACGACCAGCCACACUGGGACUGAGACACGGCCCAGACUCCUACGGGAGGCAGCAGUGGGGAAUUUUGGACAAUGGGGGCAACCCUGAUCCAGCCAUGCCGCGUGAGUGAAGAAGGCCUUCGGGUUGUAAAGCUCUUUCAGCCGGAACGAGACGGUUACGGAUAACACCCGUGACUACUGACGGUACCGGAAGAAGAAGCACCGGCUAACUACGUGCCAGCAGCCGCGGUAAUACGUAGGGUGCGAGCGUUAAUCGGAAUUACUGGGCGUAAAGCGUGCGCAGGUGGUUUUGUAAGUCAGAUGUGAAAGCCCCGGGCUCAACCUGGGAACU